GACGAACGCUGGCGGCGUGCCUAAUACAUGCAAGUAGAACGCACAGUUUAUACCGUAGCUUGCUACACCAUAGACUGUGAGUUGCGAACGGGUGAGUAACGCGUAGGUAACCUGCCUGGUAGCGGGGGAUAACUAUUGGAAACGAUAGCUAAUACCGCAUAAUAUUAAUUAUUGCAUGAUAAUUAAUUGAAAGGUGCAAUUGCACCACUACCAGAUGGACCUGCGUUGUAUUAGCUAGUAGGUGAGGUAACGGCUAACCUAGGCGACGAUACAUAGCCGACCUGAGAGGGUGAUCGGCCAACCUGGGACUGGGACACGGCCCAGACUCCUACGGGAGGCAGCAGUAGGGAAUCUUCGGCAAUGGACGAAAGUCGGACCGAGCAACGCCGCGUGAGUGAAGAAGGUUUUCGGAUCGUAAAGCUCUGUUGUAAGAGAAGAACGGGUGUGAGAGUGGAAAGUUCACACUGUGACGGUAUCUUAACAGAAAGGGACGGCUAACUACGUG
rnacentral:rRNA from 1 species